rnacentral:rRNA from 1 species
CACGGAGUUAGCCGGUGCUUAUUCAUCUGGUACCGUCAAGCUCUUUAGAAAAAGAGGGUUUCGCCCCAGAUAAAAGAAGUUUACAAUCCAGAGGACCUUCAUCCUCCACGCGGCAUGGCUGGUUCAGACUUGCGUCCAUUGACCAAUAUUCCUUACUGCUGCCUCCCGUAGGAGUCGGGCCCGUGUCUCAGUGCCCGUGUGGCUGAUCAUGCUCUCACAUCAGCUACUGAUCGAAGGCUUGGUGGGCCGUUACCCCGCCAACUACCUAAUCAGACGCACACCCAUCUUCAAGUGAUAAAUCUUUAAUAACCAAAUGAUGCCAUCCAAUUAUUCUAUGGGGUAUUAAUCCAAAUUUCUCUGGGCUAUUCCCCGCUUGAAGGAAGGUUGUGUACGUGUUCCGCACCCGUUUGCCGGUCGUCAGCGAUAUAUUGCUAUACCCUGCUACCCCUCGACUUGCAUGUAUUAAGCCUGCCGCUAGCGUUCAUCCUGAGCCAGGA